GAUGAACGCUAGCUACAGGCUUAACACAUGCAAGUCGAGGGGUAACGAGAGGAAAGCUUGCUUUCCUUGUCGACGACCGGCGCACGGGUGAGUAACGCGUAUCCAACCUGCCCCCAACUAGGGAAUAACCUUGCGAAAGUAAGACUAAUACCCUAUAAUUUCCUCAGAUGACAUCUGACGAGGAAUAAAGAUUUAUCGGUUGUGGAUGGGGAUGCGUCUGAUUAGCUUGUUGGCGGGGUAACGGACCACCAAGGCAACGAUCAGUAGGGGUUCUGAGAGGAAGGGCCCCCACAUUGGAACUGAGACACGGUCCAAACUCCGACGGGAGGCAGCAGUGAGGAAUAUUGGUCAAUGGGCGGAAGCCUGAACCAGCCAAGUAGCGUGCAGGAUGACGGCCCUAUGGGUUGUAAACUGCUUUUAUACAGGAAUAAAGUUAGCCACGUGUGGUUAUUUGUAGGUACUGUAUGAAUAAGGACCGGCUAAUUCCGUGCCAGCAGCCGCGGUAA
rnacentral:rRNA from 1 species